rnacentral:rRNA from 1 species
UACGGAGGGGGCUAGCGUUGUUCGGAAUUACUGGGCGUAAAGCGCACGUAGGCGGCUUUGUAAGUCAGGGGUGAAAUCCCGAGGCUCAACCUCGGAACUGCCUUUGAUACUGCAAAUCUCGAGUCCGGAAGAGGUGAGUGGAAUUCCUAGUGUAGAGGUGAAAUUCGUAGAUAUUAGGAAGAACACCAGUGGCGAAGGCGGCUCACUGGUCCGGUACUGACGCUGAGGUGCGAAAGCGUGGGGAGCAAACAGG